UCCCUCUCAGGAUCGCACCUGGAGAGUUUCCAGCACUCUAUCGGUCUCGGCUUUGGAAAGGAGAGUCAAGCAGAGGCAGACCCAUUCCAUUCCUAGCUUGGACAGUGGCUGGUGCGUGGAAUGCAAUCUGCUACAAGU